UAAAACUGAUGUGUGGUCCAUAAUGCUUAAAAUUACUAUUCCAAAAAGCUUUAGUUAUCUAGUUAAGCGACCAUGUUCAUAUGGAAGGAGUUGACGGUAAAUGUUACCUGAUUCUGUGGCUUUUUCCAAUUGACAAGAUUUAAAUAAAAUUUGCGCGACAGUAACGUAUCUUCAUAAGGACUUAUGGACACGUGAGGGGUGUAAAAUCGAACGUAGACACUGCGACUUGCGCUUGGAGCGGCCAGCCGUCUGAACGUAACUAGAACUCGAUUUUUCACGUAACCGUUUAAUAGUGGCUGGUGACGACAUGAUGCUUACGUAUUUGCACUAACCGGCCUUGCUCAAACACAGAUAGAUAAACCUUUGAAAUGUUAGUAGGUUCAGAGUCCUGGAAACCUAAACUUCAAAAGACGAAGGCUUUGAAAAAUUCAAAAAGACAAGACAUUUGGGCCUGCGUGGACGACUAGGCAGGCGCCAUCUGGACACAGCUAUCGCUAGUUCUAGGUUGUUUCGUAGUAAUCUUUUUGUUUGUCUUGCAACAUCUUCAUCAGGACUCAUCCGCGUUGGUAUUUAGAAAUAUUUUUCAGAUUUAUCAAGGCCAUACAGGGCGUAGUAAUUUUGUACGUAGACUUCACAUAACAAAGCUAGUGCCCAAUCUAGCGCACGAUUAAGAGAUACUCCAUGUUAGCUAUUUCCGCUUUAUUAGAAAUAGAAUGCAAGCAUUUUUCAGUACACUUGUCCGAGGUCACCUACACCUCGGCUGAAGGCACGAUUACACUGAGCCCAUCUCUUCCAUUGUCCACCUAUAGAAUUAAUAUAUUUCUAAUAUAUAUAAUGUAAUAUAAUUACUAUUACAUUAAUUUUUUCCUCUUCUGUGGAAAUUCCGUGUUACUUCUGCAGCCAUUUCUUAAUUAGCUCAUUGUUAUCACUGUAGCACAUCGUCUUAUGAUAGUCCAUUAUGUUACAGGUGUGCUUUCGUUAGAGAAGAAUUAGCCACGGAUCACGUGUAUUUUUACAAGUUUUGUUUUUAACAGGGAAACACAUAUCUAGUUACAUACUAUAUAGUUGUAGAUCAUCAUAUUUGUGAUGACGAACCCAUUAUUUUGAUUUGCGGCUUUUAAGAUUUUGUUACAUAGGCUCUACAUUACCCUUCAAAACUGCAGCUGGUCUGACGUUUCUUUACAUUUAUGGAAAUUACUUGUGCUUGAUAAACACAAGCUUUUUAGGUCGAUCGUUAUCGCCCAACAAAAUUCGAAUGUCUGCUAAACCGUAAAAACUGCAGUCACAACCUCUGACUAUGGCCUUUGUUUGAAACGUGCUUAGCAAGAUCUUUGCAGCUUAGGUUGCACGUUAGCAAGAUAUUAGCACGUACCCCACUCAUUUAUAACUCUGAUCGCAAUUUUAACUCAGUCACUAUAAUCCACUGCGAUAGCCGAAAUCUGCCUACUUUUGAGUUUGCAAGAUAUAUACUUGACUUCGUCACAGCGGUAAGCGGAACAGAUCUGGAAUAGAACAAGCUCGAUUGAUGGUCAAAGAUCUUACGUUACAAGAUGGAUUGAGAACUGAGAUUUAGUUUGUCGUAUGCAUUUGCCUCGCCCAAAAAGCUUCACUCGUGCCUUCGACACGGUGUUUCUGUGUAGUUCAGAUCCUUGGCCAAAGAGACCAUGGAUCGAAACGGACACUGUAUACGGUACCAAACCCUUUGAUCUCGGCGUAUUCCCUAAAGAUGCCUCCAGUGGCUCACAGCUUCCCGCUGCAAAGCCUCUUGAAGUUCGCUACUGUCAAAGCUGUGAUCUGGGCGUGCUCGGUUCCGUAAUCAUGCAACUUCCGCCAAAUGUAUCCUCCAUUGGCUUUGUCUGAUCCCCCCUUUACUGCGAAAAUGUUCUCUUGCGUAGAGUAUCUCGGUAUAAAUGUUUUGUGCGAACGCGAACCAAACCAAAUAUUGUCUUCCUCAAGGGUCAACUAAGCGUCAGCCACGACUUUCCUAAAAUUACACUACACUUACAUGGUGAUCUUUCAGUUUGAUUCGCCAUAUAUUUGAAUGCAUAUAUGGCUAAUAUAUAGCAGCUGUUUGCUAUAUCUACGUUGUAACGCCUCUAUUGUGUCUGUUAGACGUAGACUUGUCUCUCAAGUACAAAAACGGCUGAAGGUUAUUCUUAUAAAUCCACGAUCUCCUGCCAGUAAACAGCAUUGAUGGCUGGCACCUCGCCUGGUCUUCGAGCGCGUACAAUGUCAAACCUCGUAUGUCGGAAAUCUCCACUCGUGAUGAAACAGACCAACGCUCCAGAAUCGUCUGCUCCGCUAAGAAUGCUCGCAAGGUGCCAACGUCGGCCUCGCCACUCGAACCAAAUGUUGUUAGUAAGAUGUUGAUGGACCAAGCGUCUUCGACUUUUCGAAUUCGAAGCUUGUUUUAUCUCUAAUAAUAUACUCUGUUGUAGUAUUGAAUAUAUGCAAUAGCUUAUGAUGUCUGCUGCAAACGUUUUUGUAAAUAUUGUUGUUCAUGCAACCUUUUUUGAUAUUAUAAUUGAAAUACUUAGAGGGAAUCCGACGCAGUCAUUAAUGUAAAAGUUGAAUUACCUAAAAAAUUUUGUUAUGACGAGUUCCCAAUUAAACGACAGUUUUAAUUAAUUUGCUGGCUAGUGUAAGUGACCACGUUCGAAGUUCCAAUAGGAUUUUAGUAAUGAAUUGGUCAUCUAUUCGUCAACCAUUUCUUGUCCGAGCUGGCUUUCUGCUAGCAGAAAUUGCCAAACCAUAUAAAAUUCAUUGUUUCAUGUGUUGUCUCUCAUGAGAUAGACAGGCAAAUUUCGAGAGAUACGAAUCUAUUGUAUCGCGAACGCUACUCUUAUGCCGGCCAAAAUUUUUCCUAUGAACCACACGCCAUUAAACUGGUAUAAACAUAUGCUUUUAUGGAAUCAUAUAUAUUACGUAAUUUUUCAUGAAGUAAAGUUCAUGGGAAUUCAAGCCGAGAGCGAUUAUUUGAAAAGGACGUGUUAAGACUUCGGUGAGGUAUUGUUAUAACUGUGUCUAGAAUUGCCAUAACUAUAUUUAAAAUGAGCACCGUAGAUAUUGUACUAUAUUUAUAACGUUAGGCCUCACGGUUUUAAACUACAUUAAGCUAUAAUACUUUCAUUUUGUUAAUUUAAUUUAAAGAUAAAUGUUUUAUAUAUUGUUUACAGUUUGUUUAUGUGUAUAUUUCUAUUAAGGCCUAAACCUCACCUAU